CUGGCAAACAAAGGUAACAAAUCAUUUUGAUACUCACGUAAUUCUCCAUGCAAAAUUCAUCAAAAAGCCACCACGCAGCAUCACACAUCACAAAAGACGAAAUCCCCAAGGUGAUAUUGAACGCCACUUUAACUUCUACACUGAGGAGAAGCCGAGAAAGGCACUCAAGUCUCCAGACAGAUAUCCGAUCAUGUUGUCUGCAAGUGAUUCCAGACGUUUCAGUAGCUGGGCAAUCAGUGCUGGACAGUGGACUGCUGAAAGCAGAGGGAAAAAACCCAGUUGGCUACAUACUACAAGGCAACAGCAAAUGUAAAGUCAAUCACAAACGAUUGUGAAGAUGAAAAAUCCUUUCCACACUACCCUAUCUGACAACAACAGCAUGUUCCUGGCUCAUUUGAUCCCCACUCUAGGGACUGGGAAUCUAAUUAAAUUAAUAAUCACCUGUAUCACCCUUUUAGCUUUAUUCCUGUCAUUCUGCAUUUUACCUUAUCUGUGAUAAAUCUUUCUUUUCUUCUGUAGGUUUCCAUGACCAUUGAUAAUUGGAGAGUAGCAUUGGCUUGUCUAUGGCUUCGAUCGUCUGGUCCUAAGUUACACAACACAGAACACAUCAUAAGUUACUUAAAAAAAUCUAAACAAAUUUAGAUUAGGAUUUUUAGCUGAAGUUGUUCUUGUGACCUAGGUGGCUUGUGACAAUAGAAAUCAAGUUAUCCGAUCCAGUAAUGCAAGCUAUGUCUUCCAAAGCUAAAUAGUUUCUACUGUCAUUUCAUUUUUAUGAUAAUAUUUCAGGUUAGCUUCCCCUGUCAAAUUGUGGUAAAUCUUUAAGAUAUUGAUGCCUUCCCCAGAUCCAAUUCUUUGCUGCUUACUCUUCCCUUUUGUAGAUAACAGCAAAAUAAUACUGCCACUCAAGAGGUUGUGGUAACUGCCCCUUAGUUCUAAUUUAGGACAAUGUAACAUAAUUGAUAGAUUUGAGGCGAGAUUCUCACCACCGUUAUAGUUGUUUGGAAAGUGACACCACGCAUUCACUCACUGGAAUCAGGAGGAUGAGGAGGGCCCUGGUCGAACGAGGACUUGGAAGGUGCAUGAUUUGAUGAAAACUUCUGGAGAAUCAUGAGUCUAACCUGGAAACUUCUAUGUUUAUUGUUCCCUAGCCAAAAUGGCUUCAAAUCCAUCUCUCUUCUUCUUUGUCCAGGUAACUCUCCCUGGCACAAUCAAUCAAUGCAGUUGUUUCCCUUUCUUGAUUGACUGCAUGUAUGAGUUUAAACAAAUUGACUAGCAUUUAUGCAUGCAACGAGGAAAAAAGCUACUGGUAAGAUAAAUCUCGGACAGGUAUAUAAUAUACAAUAACCUAACCUUUGUUACUUAAUUAUGUGCACAAAAUAAAUAUUGGCUUUGCAACUGUUGCUCUGUAUUUAUGAAACAUGGUUUUUUAAUUAACGACAUUAUAUUAAGGUUAUGGUAUGAGUUCAUAAAAUGCAUUUUCUGAGCGGUAAUA